GGUGUGCAAAAGGGAAGAAGAACAUUGAAUGGAUGAGGAGCAUCAUGAAUAAAGAUUUGAAACCAACAUGAAAUGACAAGGAUUUCAAAUUUUCUUCCCUGAAAGAACUCACUGCUCCCUGAUAUUUUUCCCUUCUCUUCCUUAUGCUGUUUCACCCUAAGUAGUGGAUCCUUGACAAGUUUCGCUUAGACAUCAUGGAGACGGUACUCUACAAGCAUCCCACACAGGGCCUUUAUGUGGAUGAUACCGCAUGUCAGGAGGCUUCCCUGAGGAAUGAUGUUUAAUCCAAGACCUGAAAGAGGAGUGGGGAUCACCAGACAACGAAAAGG